rnacentral:rRNA from 1 species
UGUGUAGGCGGUCGCGCAAGUCUGGUGUGAAAGCUCCACUGCUUAACGGGGAGAGGUCACUGGAAACUGUGCGGCUGGAGUGUGGUAGAGGCGAGCGGAAUUCCUGGUGUAGCGGUGGAAUGUGUAGAUAUCAGGAAGAACAUCUGUGGCGAAGGCGGCUCGCUGGGCCAUCACUGACGCUGAGACACGAAAGCGUGGGGAGCGAACG